rnacentral:rRNA from 1 species
GAUGAACGCUGGCGGCGUGCCUAAUACAUGCAAGUCGAGCGAAUGGAUUAAGAGCUUGCUCUUAUGAAGUUAGCGGCGGACGGGUGAGUAACACGUGGGUAACCUGCCCAUAAGACUGGGAUAACUCCGGGAAACCGGGGCUAAUACCGGAUAACAUUUUGAACCGCAUGGUUCGAAAUUGAAAGGCGGCUUCGGCUGUCACUUAUGGAUGGACCCGCGUCGCAUUAGCUAGUUGUGGAGGUAACGGCUCACCAAGGCAACGAUGCGUAGCCGACCUGAGAGGGUGAUCGGCCACACUGGGACUGAGACACGGCCCAGACUCCUACGGGAGGCAGCAGUAGGGAAUCUUCCGCAAUGGACGAAAGUCUGACGGAGCAACGCCGCGUGAGUGAUGAAGGCUUUCGGGUCGUAAAACUCUGUUGUUAGGGAAGAACAAGUGCUAGUUGAAUAAGCUGGCACCUUGACGGUACCUAACCAGAAAGCCACGGCUAACUACGUGCCAGCCGCCGCGGUAA